GACGAACGCUGGCGGCGUGCUUAACACAUGCAAGUCGAGCGGCAAGACGCUUCUUUUCUAUGCUGCUCGAGUGGCGACCGGGUGCGUAACACGUUAGUAUCCUCCCCUUUCCUAUGGGAUAACUUCAAGACACUGGAGCUCAUACCGAUUAGCAGCUCCUUCUUCAUGGUGGGUGUUUGAAGGUUUCGGCGGUUGGUGAUUUACUCGCGGCUUAUCUGCUUGUUGGUGGGGUAGUGGCUUACCAAGGCUUAGACGGGUAGCCGGUCUGAGAGGGUGACCGGCAACAGUGGGACAGAGAUACGGCCGAGACUAGUAAGGGAGGCAGCAGUAGGGAAGAAUGCACAAAGGACGGAAGCCGGAUGCAGCAACAACGCGUGCUGGAUGAUGGACUUCGGGUUGUAAACCGCUAAAGACUGUGACUAAGCGUGAGUGACGGUAACGUGUAAAGAAGCACCGGCUAACUACGUG
rnacentral:rRNA from 1 species